UUUAAAAAUGUCUCCCUAUCUUAAUCUUUGAGAGAUGGAUAAAACUGCUGUAAAUCCUAAACAAAAACAACUACUGUUUUGAAUCUUCCAUUCUGCCAACAGCAGGUAAACAAAAAUUUUCUCAUUAGCAACAAUGUCUGGGAAUGGAAGUAAAAUUCCACUCUGGGUCCCAGAGCUUCCCAGAAAUGUGAUUACAUAGAAAUGUACAUCCCGUGCUUGAAAUGACACUUCAAGCCUUCUGGACUAUGGAAACUUCAGAAGACCCUCAAAACCAAAGAUGAACCACUCCACACUAUCCAAGGCAGGAGCAAUGCUGUUUACAGCUCUGCUUCAGAAGUGAUGUCCUUCCCAGGCACUGCUCAUUGGUAGGGACAUGAAACAAAUUGGGUUUUGUUUCCUUUUUAGAACUCAUCAAACACUGAACAACAAAUGCAAAAAGUUCCCUUAUUUUGAUAAAACAAUUUUUUUCCAUAACCCUUGAUGAAUUCUGCCGUGUUGAAAAGCCAGGAGUUAACUGGGAAACCCCACAAGCACUGCUUGGCCUGCCAGAGUGUGAACGAAGGAUGGAGCUGAGGGGUCUUACUGUCCCACAGGUCUUCCAACAUUGUUGGAUUACUAGGCUGAAGCCUAAAAAGCAAGAAAUUUGAUCAAUUCCCAAAGGAGACUAGGGCUUUUCAAAUCUUCCAGGACCUUGCAAGUCCUCUGGGAGCUCAGUAAAACCUGAAACAUUUGCUUGAUUUCUCUCCCUGAAGGAUUGCAGUUGUGGGUGUGAAGGUUUGGGGAUUUUCCACUGCCUUGUGGCUUUGUUUUCAUCUUGGUGAGCUGCUGCUAUGAGCGAAAGGUUUACAGUUUUGCCAGUGGUAUAUGUAAAGGGGUCUUUUUCUGAACCUCAGAAAAAAACAUUAUGAAUUAGACUAUUACAGUUUUACAGGUGAAAAAAGCUAAAGCAAUUGAAGGAGAAGGAAUCUAGGCAUGUUAAAGAGCAGUCUCACUUGGAAGUAGGACCAGCAUUUUACAAUGUCUAAACAAUUUGUUGAGGAGGCUGGUGAAAACUGUGAAAAGAGACAAAUUUGGAAGGAUAAUUAGAGAGGAUCAAGAUGAAAUACUAGCUGUCAGGAAGCAGAAAGUAUUUUAAACUAGUGCUAGCAGAUGCUUCAAGUAUUACUCUGCACAGACAAGAGGAAAAUGUGUGUGGAGAUUACCCCAACUUAUGAGAAUAAGAAAGGGAUAGAGCGAUAGGGAAUAUAAAACACAGUCAUUAUUGAUGCAGUUCUUUUCUUCUCUCUUUGCAGAAGACAGAAAUGAAAGUUGUAUGAGUCUUUGCAGAUUUAUCCUGAUAGACUGGAAUUACGAAAGUUCACGAGUGCUCCAGGAGCCACAUGAGGAUAAAUAUAGAUUCAAUCAAAUCAAAUCAAGUUUGGCAAUAAAGAUGUAAGAAGUGAAUUACUUUCAGCUUGCCCCAAGUUGUUUAACUGAACCAGGACAAUUUAUGAAGCAACCAGGAAGGAGGGAGAGAGGGAGAGAGAGAGAUGCUACUUAUGGAAAAGCUACACAGAACUACACAUCACUUGACACCAGAGAAUGCAGCAGGAAAUUUUCAAAAUCCAAAACUAUAGGAAAACCUAUAGUCAGAAUUUGCACUGGCUUAGACUAUGCAGUUCAUCUUCACAAGCAGCAUAAACAAGGCUUCAUUAAUCACAGAGCUCCUGGAAAUAC